GAUGAAGAACGCAGCGAAAUGCGAUAAGUAAUGUGAAUUGCAGAAUUCAGUGAAUCAUCGAAUCUUUGAACGCACAUUGCGCCCGCCAGCAUUCUGGCGGGCAUGCCUGUUCGAGCGUCAUUUCAACCCUCGACUUCCCUUUGGGGAAGUCGGCGUUGGGGACCGGCCGUAUACCGCCGGCCCCGAAAUGAAGUGGCGGCCCGUCCGCGGCGACCUCUGCGUAGUAAUCCAACUCGCACCGGAACCCCGACGUGGCCAUGCCGUAAAACCCCCGACUUCUGAACGUUGACCUCGGAUCAGGUAGGAAUACCCGCUGAACUUAAGCAUAUCAAUAAGCGGAGGA
rnacentral:misc_RNA from 1 species